rnacentral:rRNA from 1 species
UACGAAGGGGGCUAGCGUUGUUCGGAAUUACUGGGCGUAAAGCGCACGUAGGCGGGUUGUUAAGUCAGGGGUGAAAUCCCGGAGCUCAACUCCGGAACUGCCUUUGAUACUGGCAACCUAGAGGCUGGAAGAGGUUAGUGGAAUUCCCAGUGUAGAGGUGAAAUUCGUAGAUAUUGGGAGGAACACCAAUGGCGAAGGCAGCUCGCUGGGACGUGACUGACGCUGAGACGCGAAAGCGUGGGGAGCAAACAGG